rnacentral:rRNA from 1 species
UACGUAGGGUGCGAGCGUUGUCCGGAAUUAUUGGGCGUAAAGGGCUCGUAGGCGGUCUGUCGCGUCGGGAGUGAAAACUCAGGGCUUAACCCUGAGCCUGCUUCCGAUACGGGCAGACUAGAGGUAUGCAGGGGAGAACGGAAUUCCUGGUGUAGCGGUGGAAUGCGCAGAUAUCAGGAGGAACACCAGUGGCGAAGGCGCCGCUCUGGGCCGAGACUGACGCUGAGAAGCGAAAGCAUGGGGAGCGAACAGG